AAAAUAAAUUCCUAUUCCCAGCAAACCUUCGACGAAGCCUUAGAUGAACAUAAAAAUGGAAAUAGUUCUCCUGAGAAGCAUUAAACUUGAAAGGUUCCAACCACCCGCAGCUCUUCAAACAAUGGGAGGAACGUGAAACCUGUGAAACCAUUAAUAAUUGGCGCUUAGUAUUUUUCAGAAUUUUGAUAAACAUCGUUAUUUUUAUUAUAUUGAAAUUAUUCUCCGCACUAGCGCACUUGGGUUUUAUUUAUUUAUUACUUUUUAUCUAUCACCUUUUCCCAACUUUAAUUAAAAAUUGUAAUGUACUUAAUACUGGAAACUUGCCUGGCUAUUGAAUAUAAAAUCAAAUCUGUGAUUAAAAAUUAAAACUUCAAAACUCUAAUUUGAAAAGAAAAUUUUCCUGUAAAUGAUGUGCACUGUGCAGCUUCUUCUGCUAUAUUCGUGAUAAUUUUAUCUACUCUGCUGCACUCGGAUAAUUUAAUCUACUCUGCUACACUCGGAUAAUUUAAUUUGCUCUGCUGCACUCUUGAUAAUUUUAUCUGCUCUGCUGCACUCGGAUAAUUUUAUCUACUCUGCUACACUCGGAUAAUUUAAUCUGCUCUGCUGCACUCUGAUGAUUUUAUCUACUCUGCUCACUCAGAUAAUUUAAUCUGCUCUGCUGCACUCUGAUAAUUUUAUCUGCUCUGCUGCACUCGAAUAAUUUUAUCUGCUCUGCUGCACUCGGAUAAUUUUAUCUGCUCUGGGAUAAUUUUAUCUGCUCUGCUGUACUCGGAUAAUUUAAUCUGCUCUGCUGCACUCUGAUAAUUUUAUCUACUCUGCUACACUCGGAUAAUUUAAUCUGCUCUGCUGCACUAUUUUAUCUGCUCUGCUGCACUCGGAUAAUUUUAUCUACUCUGCUACACUCGGAUAAUUUAAUCUGCCCUGCUGCACUCUGAUGAUUUUAUCUACUCUGCUCACUCAGAUAAUUUAAUCUGCUCUGCUGCACUCGGAUAAUUUUAUCUGCUCUGCUGCACUCAAAUAAUUUUAUCUGCUCUGCUGCACUCGGAUAAUUUUAUCUGCUCUGGGAUAAUUUAAUCUGCUCUGCUGUACUCGGAUAAUUUAAUCUGCUCUGCUGCACUCUGAUAAUUUUAUCUACUCUGCUACACUCGGAUAAUUUAAUCUGCUCUGCUGCACUAUUUUAUCUGCUCUGCUGCACUCGGAUAAUUUUAUCUACUCUGCUACACUCGGAUAAUUUAAUCUGCCCUGCUGCACUCUGAUGAUUUUAUCUACUCUGCUCACUCAGAUAAUUUAAUCUGCUCUGCUGCACUCGGAUAAUUUUAUCUGCUCUGCUGCACUCG